AGUAGUCAUGGCUACUAUAAAUAGAGACUUAAGCCAUGAGCGUUCCCAUCUUUGUGAUGGGAGGUGUCU
rnacentral:ribozyme from 3 species